CCUACGGGUGGCUGCAGUGGGGAAUCUUGGACAAUGGGGGGAACCCUGAUCCAGCCAUGCCGCGUGAGCGAUGAAGGCCUUCGGGUUGUAAAGCUCUUUCGUGGGGGAUGAUAAUGACCGUACCCCAAGAAGAAGCCCCGGCUAACUCCGUGCCAGCAGCCGCGGUAAUACGGAGGGGGCUAGCGUUGUUCGGAAUUACUGGGCGUAAAGCGCACGUAGGCGGACGCGGCAGUCAGGGGUGAAAUCCCGGGGCUCAACCCCGGCACUGCCCUUGA
rnacentral:rRNA from 1 species